CACUACUUCGAUCUUUUCGUGAAGCUGAGGAGCGAGCAGGAGCUCCUGUUCAGGAACAUCCAGAAGAACGAGUACAGCAACCUUUUCAACUUCAUCAGGUCGAUUCUCGUCGCCUGUUCGGAAGAUCGCGAUUCGAUUAUGAUCCCGCACGAAUUGAGUUCUUAUCUCUGAUGAUCUUCAGCGGGAAGGGUUUGAAGAUCAUGAACCUCGGAGACGGGAAGAACGCGAACGGCGAGUCGCAUGCGAUCGACGAGGACGACGACGAUGCCGUGGAUCCGCAUCUGGCGAGAAUCAAAAGCGCGGC
rnacentral:lncRNA from 1 species